rnacentral:rRNA from 1 species
UACGUAGGGUGCAAGCGUUGUCCGGAAUUAUUGGGCGUAAAGAGCUCGUAGGCGGUCUGUCGCGUCUGCUGUGAAAACUCGGGGCUUAACCCCGGGCCUGCAGUGGGUACGGGCAGACUAGAGUGCGGUAGGGGAGACUGGAAUUCCUGGUGUAGCGGUGAAAUGCGCAGAUAUCAGGAGGAACACCGGUGGCGAAGGCGGAUCUCUGGGCCAUUACUGACGCUGAGGAGCGAAAGCGUGGGGAGCAACGGG